rnacentral:rRNA from 1 species
ACGUAGGGACCAAGCGUUGUUCGGAUUUACUGGGCGUAAAGGGCGCGUAGGCGGCAGAUCAAGUCAGCUGUGAAAUCUCAGGGCUUAACCCUGAACGGUCAGCUGAUACUGUUUUGCUAGAGUACAGAAGGGGCAAUCGGAAUUCUUGGUGUAGCGGUGAAAUGCGUAGAUAUCAAGAGGAACACCUGAGGUGAAGACGGGUUGCUGGGCUGAUACUGACGCUGAGGCGCGAAAGCUAGGGUAGCAAACGGGA